GUUAGGAAUAUUGGACAAUGGGCGAAAGCCUGAUCCAGCCAUGCCGCGUGAACGAUGAAGGCCUUCGGGUUGUAAAGUUCUUUAGCCGAUGAUUAUAAUGACUGUAGUCGGAAAAUAAGCCCCGGCUAACUUCGUGCCAGCAGCCGCGGUAAUACGAAGGGGGCGAGCGUUAUUCGGAAUCACUGGGCGUAAAGCGUGCGUAGGCGGUUUUGUAAGUUAGGAGUGAAAGCCCAGGGCUCAAACUUGGAAUUGCUCUUAAAACUGCAAGGCUCGAAUCUCGGAGAGGAUAGCGGAAUUCCCAGUGUAGCAGUGAAAUGCGUAGAUAUUGGAAGGAACACCAGUGGCGUAAGCGGCUAUCUGGACGAGUAUUGACGCUGAGGCACGAAAGCGUGGGGAUCAAACAGGAUUAGAUACCCGAGUAGUCC
rnacentral:rRNA from 1 species